GAUGAACGCUGGCGGCGUGCCUAAUACAUGCAAGUCGAGCGAAUGGAUUAAGAGCUUGCUCUUAUGAAGUUAGCGGCGGACGGGUGAGUAACACGUGGGUAACCUGCCCAUAAGACUGGGAUAACUCCGGGAAACCGGGGCUAAUACCGGAUAACAUUUUGAACCGCAUGGCUCGAAAUUGAAAGGCGGCUUCGGCUGUCACUUAUGGAUGGACCCGCGUCGCAUUAGCUAGUUGGUGAGGUAACGGCUCACCAAGGCAACGAUGCGUAGCCGACCUGAGAGGGUGAUCGGCGACACUGGGACUGAGACACGGCCCAGACUCCUACGGGAGGCAGCAGUAGGGAAUCUUCCGCAAUGGACGAAAGUCUGACGGAGCAACGCCGCGUGAGUGAUGAAGGCUUUCGGGUCGUAAAACUCUGUUGUUAGGGAGGAACAAGUGCUAGUUGAAUAAGCUGGCACCUUGACGGUACCUAACCAGAAAGCCACGGCUAACUACGUGCCAGCCGCCGCGGUAA
rnacentral:rRNA from 1 species